GAGGUCCUGUCUUUGUGGAAGAAAAGAGACACAGAGGUUGUGGUUUCUGUGCUUCCCUCAAAAAACCAUGGUACGUCCAUAAUUAUCCACCACAGUGAUCUGCGAACCCUUCGACCACACCUGUGGCUAACAGGCGAGGUAUAUCAAUGAUUAAUUUAAGCACUCAUAACCACAAUAAUUAGACUGUGUAAUGUAAUUCAAUUAAAAGGACAUUAUCAUGAAAUUAUUUAUCAUUAACAUAAUUUAAAGUAUAUAAAUUACAUAGCUUUUGUGUUUAUGCAAAUUCUUUACGUAGGUAAUUGAAGGCCUGUUUCAUUGUCUGGCAAAAAAGGAGCAAAAGGGGAUCUACAUUAUGAACCAUUACACAGCGGGCUUGAUUCUCUUUGGUGAUCGGACACAGCUUUCUCGCCAAAGCUUGCGGAACGUAAGAUGAUUGUCCAAUGUCCAUAUAAUUAUGUUCAAAUACAUUUAGAAAGAAUUACUGAUUGAAUGCUAACAGAAUUCCACAAACUGUAAGAAAUACAUACAUGUUUUCUGACAGGUAAACUUCGAUCGGUACCAGGCCAUUGUCAUGUUUGUUAACAUUAAAAAUGUACACUGGAAGUUUCUGUUCAUCAAUGCAGUGAAUCACACUGUUUAUCUCCUUGAUCCUGCCCCAAGUUCAUCAGAGGAGGAAGACUCUAAACUCGCUGCACGUAAAUUCAGUGAUUACUUAAAAAUGAGGAGAACCCGCCACGCAAAAACAGAAUGGGUGGACAUUAAAUGGAAGGGAGGUGUCUUGACCCAUCCAGUGCAGAAGGAUGGCUUCAGCUGUGGAGUAUUAGUGGUGAUGAUGGCACGGGCAGUGAUGAAAGUAUUUCCAGAUUUUCCCGUCAUGAAAUUUAAAACCUCAAAAGAAAAAAUGGCAGAGGAAAGAAAAUUGAUGGCUCUGGAGAUACUACAAGCAUCAGUUUUUGACACUAACAGCAACUGUGCCAUGUGAUCGCUGACUAAGCCACCUGGAUCAGGACCUUCAAUGAUGAACUGGACGGGGAACAGAAAACAAACUGGAGGCUGGCUUGACUGCAAUGCUGGAAUUGGAGGCUGGCUUGACACAAGUGGAGGGAGAGACAGAGAAAGAGAGCCAGGAACAACAACAUCACAUUAGAAAGGUAUAGUAAUCAUCCACAACUAUUUUCAGUUGCGGAUGAUAAAGGAUUCAGAAAGUUUAUUCAUGCAGGCCCAUAUGACAGAGAAUAUGCAUCUUGUUUUUGUUUUCAUAUUUUAAUUUAUAUUUAAUUGUGUUGUGGUUUGCAGAGUUUUGUGUUGUUUCACUUUAAAUUUAUUUAAAAGGAAAAAGCUGAAAAUUUAAAUAGUUAAAAGUUGAAAUGUGAAUAGUUGCGUUUUUGUAUUAUAUGAUUUAUUUAUAACAUUUUAUGUGGAGUGAAUAAAUAAAAGUAUAUUUACGGUGGCCCCUAGAGACAAGGCACAUACAAACUCCAAAACACGUACAAACCCUUAAGCACGUACAAACUCCAAAACAUGUAAAAACCCCAAAACACGUAAAAACUCCAUAGCACGUACAAACUCCAAAACACGUAAAAACUCAGAAGCACGUACAAACUCCAAAACACGUACAAAAGACAACAGAAGUGCUCCAGAAUGCUAGGUGCAGUGUUGAGCUUUUGUUACCUAGUGGUUACACAAGCCAGGAAGUGCCAAUGACUGGAUUUGGUGUGUGGUAGUGACAAGUAAAUGAACAUUUUUUUUUUAUCAUUUGAAUAUAUAAGAGUGCUUGUGUAUAAAUACACAAACAAUACACAUAUGCUUUCAAUUGUGUAAUUUAAGUGAUCUAGGUAGCUCUGUUUUGGAAGUUCAGUUAACGCUAGAAAUGUGUUUUGGAGUUUGUACAUGCUUUGGAGUUUGUACGUGCUUUUUGGAGUUUGUACGUGCUUUGUCUCUAGGGGCCACGGCAUAUAUUUAUAUAUAAACAUAUAUAAAUAAAACCACUUUUUUUUACAUUAGUAAUUCCUUUUGUGCAUAAUUUUAUAUUAUUUUUAAUAAUAAAUUAAUUAAAGCAACAAAACAACCUGAAGAGCCAGUUCGGAGCCGAAAGAGCCGGCUCUUUUUAGUGAGCUGAGCCGAAAGAGCCAGUUCUCUAAAAAGAGCCGGAAAUCCCAUCACUAAUAAAGAAACACGUAAGUGAGUAUUUGCCUUAAUUUGCAGAAUGUUUGAUUUGCUGGCAACAGAACACUUACACACACAAACCCGGGAUAGUGAAUGCAGCAAUGUUACUUGACAAAUAGCAAAUCAUAGCAAAUAAAUAGAAACAGAAUAAUAUGCAUAAUGUGCAAACAAAAAGGUUAACACAUAUGGGACAAAUGGAGAGCAUUGCAACUGCUCAUCCACUUUGUCACAUCCUCACUUUAGUUUCUGUUUUACCUUGCAUUGGUAUCAGCAACAUCAGAAACAGUACAUUUCAUCAUUUUAUGAAAUGUACUUUAAAUUAAAGUAAUUUCUUCAAAAAGUAACAUUUAAAGAAAUUACUUUAAAUGUUACUUUAGUCCAUACAUGGACUUUUUUUUUUGAAAAUCUAGAUUUUGUUUUACGCAUCCUACCCAUCUGAGGUCUCCAACAUGCAAGUUGCACUUUAAAGCAUAAAAAAUCAAAUAAAGCAAA
ensembl:lncRNA